CCUUCCUUCCCAGGAAGUCGCUACUGGAAAACUGUGACCAGAGAGAAGGCCUCACCUGCCCCUGCUGGCACCUCCAUCACGGGCUUCCAGCCUCCAGACCUGUGAGCAAUACUUUCUGUUUUUUGUGGUGAAUAGCCUCGUGUGAUGGAACAGAAGGAACAGAAGAGUUGAAGAGGAACAAGCAGCCAAAGGCCACCACCCCAGAGUGACGGAGCAG